CAACUUUCAACAACGGAUCUCUUGGCUCUCGCAUCGAUGAAGAACGCARCGAAAUGCGAUAAGUAAUGUGAAUUGCAGAAUUCAGUGAAUCAUCGAAUCUUUGAACGCACCUUGCGCUCCUUGGUAUUCCAAGGAGCAUGCCUGUUUGAGUGUCAUGA
rnacentral:rRNA from 1 species